rnacentral:rRNA from 1 species
UACGUAGGGUGCGAGCGUUGUCCGGAAUUAUUGGGCGUAAAGAGCUCGUAGGCGGCUUGUCGCGUCGGAUGUGAAAGCCCGGGGCUUAACCCUGGGUCUGCAUUCGAUACGGGCAGGCUAGAGUUCGGUAGGGGAGAUCGGAAUUCCUGGUGUAGCGGUGAAAUGCGCAGAUAUCAGGAGGAACACCGGUGGCGAAGGCGGAUCUCUGGGCCGAUACUGACGCUGAGGAGCGAAAGCGUGGGGAGCGAAC